UACGUAGGGUGCGAGCGUUAAUCGGAAUUACUGGGCGUAAAGCGUGCGUAGGCGGUUCGUUAUGUCUGCUGUGAAAGCCCCGGGCUUAACCUGGGAAUGGCAGUGGAAACUGGCGGGCUUGAGUGUGGCAGAGGGGGGUGGAAUUCCGCGUGUAGCAGUGAGAUGCGUAGAGAUGCGGAGGAACACCGAUGGCGAAGGCAGCCCCCUGGGCUGACACUGACGCUGAGGCACGAAAGCGUGGGGAGCAAACAGG
rnacentral:rRNA from 1 species